rnacentral:tRNA from 1 species
GGAGAGGUCGCAUAGCGGUCUAGUGCGCUUGCUUGGAAAGCAAGUAAGGUGUAACAGCCUUCGAGGGUUCAAAUCCCUCCCUCUCCGCCA